UACGAAGGGGGCUAGCGUUGCUCGGAUUGACUGGGCGUAAAGGGCGCGUAGGCGGUUCGCACAGUCAGACGUGAAAUUCCUGGGCUCAACCUGGGGGCUGCGUUUGAUACGUGCGGACUUGAGUGCGGAAGAGGGUCGUGGAAUUCCCAGUGUAGAGGUGAAAUUCGUAGAUAUCGUCAGGAAUGCCGGUGGUGAAGACGGGUGACUGGGCUGGUUCUGACACUGAGGCACGAAAGCGUGGGGAGCGAACGGG
rnacentral:rRNA from 1 species